rnacentral:rRNA from 1 species
UACGAAGGGGGCUAGCGUUGUUCGGAAUUACUGGGCGUAAAGGGCGCGUAGGCGGCUGUGCAAGUCAGGUGUGAAAGCCCUGGGCUCAACCCAGGAUGUGCACUUGAUACUGCGCGGCUAGAGUGUCGGAGAGGAUGGUGGAAUUCCCAGUGUAGAGGUGAAAUUCGUAGAUAUCGGGAGGAACACCAGUGGCGAAGGCGACUUCCUGGCCUGUUCUUGACGCUGAGGCGCGAAAGCUAGGGGAGCAAACGGG